CCCAUUUCCCAAUUGAAAACCAGAGGCAGAAAAGGUUUCACCUCUUAAUUAUGUUGGUAGGGUUUCUAUUUGGGGUUCGAAUUCUAUGUAGUACAACACGUGUGUGAUGUACCGUGUUAUACUGCAGUGGACGGUCAUGAUCGUUCACACGUGUGAAUGAUUUGACCGUCCGAGCUGUAACAAUAGAGAAUCUCAACUCUUGUAUCUGAUCAUUGGUCAACAUUUUAUAUGCAAUUGAUGACUAUUGUGUGCAUUAAUCAUAUUGCGCCACCUCAUGUCUUUAUCCGCACAACGCGUCGUAAGCAUAGAGUGAUUGGUGGUUACAGUGCUAAGUACCCUGGCGAAGCUUGGUGGCAAAGUAGCUGAUGAUUGCUAGGCUUUGCCAACUCUUUUAUAAAUUCCACUUUUGGGGCAGUGCAUGGGGGGUUUUCAUGUGGGAAAUAAAGGGCUAGGGCUUAUUUGCAGUGUGAGACUAUUUUUCAUCAUUGCCCAAUGAAGCUAUAGCAUGCCAUGUUAUAGCUGAAUUGACCCAUUGGUGAUGAACUUUCUAAAUCCUUUCUUGUUAAGAAAUGUCACAUGGUUGAUAAUAUGUACUCCCACACUUCAAUGGAAUUUGAGUGAGAGAAAAGCUUCAAAUUGUUCAAUCAAGUUAUUUUUGGUAUGCUUGGUUUAUUGAAGGAAGGAGCAAGGUGAGAUUAAUUCACUUCGAAGUACACACAACACCUCACAAAUUACGUGCACCGGGCAGGACCGGACAAGUACAGAACUCAAUCUGACUACAACUUAACCCGUAUAGAUACUUCCACAGAAACCGUUUAUUCAGAUACUCGAACUUGAGACAUGAUGCUUUAUGAAGCAUCAUGACCCGAGUUCUCACCCGCUAGGCCAACCCUGCAGGAUUCAUUCUCCAAUAUACUAUUUCAAUAAAAUUGCUAUUACUUGCCGAUUGACACCAAUGAGCAUAUAUAAAUGAUAUCAAGGCAGUCAUUAUAUUUCUUUUACGAAAGAAUCACGCUAUACUAAUUGAAAUCCUCACCUAUUGCAUGAACGGAAAUGUUUUCUUCCUUUAGAUGGUUUAACAUAGGACCCACUUAGAUCCGACGUUAAACUAUCUAAAGUUGCAGUCAUUUUGACUUCCAAAAUAGGGUAGGGGUUUCGUUUUAUCUUUCAUUUUCCUUUACGAAAAUAACAAUGGAGGUGAGCCCAAAACUUCCAGAACAGAGUGAUCUGUUUCCAGCCUGUAUAAUAUGCUAAAUGCAUCUUAUUAGAAUGAAGCAAGAAUAUAUAGAGUCAUAGAAUUUGAUCUGAGAUGGGCAGUUUUGGACUUGUCUGAAUAUAUUGUCUGGAGCAGUUUCAAUUUGUAGUUUGGAAUGGAAUAAAAUGAUCAAAGCUUCAAAAGUGACUAAAUGUGGGCAAUCAAGAAAUUUUUCAUGAUUUUCAUUCAAACUAGCAUUUUGGUACAGCCUACCAUCAUACCAUGUUACUUCUAAGCUUCCCUCUUCAGCAUCCGAAGCAAAAAUUCAACUCUAGUGUCAAUGGGUCCUGCCAAGCACGCCUGAGCCUCCUAAAAUUAUGAGAGAUUUUAGGCGAAUUUUUAGAUGCAAAAUUUUUUAUACAUACAUAUAUUUUUUUCCUGAAUAAAUAUUUAUUUCCUGAGAUUUUACACGUGCCAAAAAUUUAUAAGAGUACAAAAUUUUCAUUAAAAUGAGAUGAUAAACACAAUAUAUUAAUGUUGAAAACACACAAAACAAACCUGAUCUUGAAAAUCAAAAUUCAACUUCAUAUUAAAAUAAAUGUGAUCGUCUCCGCAUUUUGAACUGCAAAAUUAUCAAUUCAUGUGUUCCAAUUAAGUAUUUCCAACAUAUCGUCGACGAUAGAUAAGAUUUGAUCAACUUUAACUUUGAAAUCUCAAUUGCAUUUUUUGUUCCUCUUGGUAUAGUUUCUGAUAAGACUUAUAACUCUGAAAAUAAUUAUGUCAUUUUGGUUAUAGCUAUAAAUUUACAUGAUAUAUAAGUGUGUAUUGCCUUUUAAUUUUAGAAAUUAUGAUCAAAUAUACAUACUUCUAUAUUUACAUUAUGAUCCUAAAUUUGAGGUCAUUUUAAAUUUGGAUGGUGCACAUACAUCACCUUUGUGAGGUGAAAAUGAGGUUUUUGACAUAAAAUUUGACAAGCAUCGCCUUUGUGUAUGGUGCUCAUACAUCACCUUUGUGUGGUGAAAAUGAGGUUUUUGACAUAAAAAUUGACAAGCAUCACCUUUGUGUAUGGUGCACAUACAUCACCUUUGUGUGGUGAAAAUGAGGUUUUUGACAUAAAAAUUGACAAGCAU